rnacentral:misc_RNA from 1 species
GAUGAAGAACGUAGCAAACUGCGAUACUUGGUGUGAAUUGCAGAAUCCCGUGAACCAUCGAGUCUUGAACGCAAGUUGCGCCCGAAGCCAUCAGGUUGAGGGCACGUCUGCCUGGGCGUCACAUAUCGUUGCCCAAUGCCUAUUGCAGUGCAAUAGGAAUUUCUAGGGCGAAUGAUGGCUUCCCGUGAGCGUUGUUGCCUCGCGGUUGGUUGAAAAUCGAGUCCUUGGUAGGGUGUGCCAUGGUAGAUGGUGGUCGAGUUAGAACGAUACCGAUCAUGUGCAUGCUCCCCAAAAUAUGGCCUCUAUGACCCACACGCGUCUUUUGACGCUCAUGACGAGACCUCAGGUCAGGCGGGGCUACCCGCUGAAUUUAAGCAUAUCAAUAAGCGGAGGA